ensembl:lncRNA
AGAUUCACCAAUCUGCUAAAUUACUUUUUCAUCCUCCAGGGAAGAGUGCAUGAGAGAUGGGGAGAAUGGCCAAAGUGUUCACUGAGCAAAGAGUUGGGAUUCUGAGGCCUAGCUGUGAACACUGUGCCUGUGACUGCCUUGCCUUUGGGGAGACAGGAAGACCUCUGGGCUGCAUGUCAGGAACUGCUCUUCUUAAAAUCCAGAGGACUUCUGUAGCAUCGCCAGCGGCCCUCCUCAGACUUAGUGACACGUCCUGAUUGCUGAGACUGAUUUGUGUCCUUUUCUUAACAGAGCCAAGUGGGCACGUGUCCAAGGCCUGAGGCUUCCGGCGUGUAUCUCAUUGUCUCUCAGUAGAGUGUGGCACCUACGUGGAUGGGGAAAGAACAUCAGAUGUGGGGUCAGGUGUCCUGGUUUCUUGCUUGGCUCUCAUUUAUUAGCCAUGGGAGGUUGGGGAAGUCAUUCAGCCUCCCUCUCCCUUCAUUCCCUCAUCUGUAAAAUGGCAGUGAAAUUUACUUAUCUCAAAGGACUGUGUGAGGAUCAAGAUUAUGGACAAGACCGUGCUUUAUAAACAACAAAGCCAAAUAAUUCCAAGCAGCUUUAUCACAUUUUCCAUGAAUCUUUUCUGUGAAUCCCCCUUUCUUCUUUCCCAUAUCCUUUUCAUGGUAGACACAUGUUGAUUGCUCAUCCAGUAUCCUCUCUUCCUUCUUUUGGAACAGUACCCUGAUCCUUUUUGGGGAAUCUCUUGGGCCAUGUGGAUUGUUCAAAUCUCUCCCAUCCUACAACUCCAGGGGCAGGCCCACAAUCCAGUCCUGACCAAGCAGAAUAUUUUAUCCCUCUGGCCAUACAGUCAGUUGCAAGGAUUGCCAUGUGUCCCAGCUUGGCCCAAUCGACCGUUCCUGGGGCUUUUGCUGGAAUUCCUGGGAAGAACUUUGCCUUCCUUGCCAGAAUUGCCGAACUUGGAGAUGCAUCUGUGGAGCCCCACCUCUGGUCCUAGACCCAGAAUGGUUGGAUGCUAAAAAGGAAUACUCCGUGGACCUCUGCUGUGUUCCAGGCACUUGAAAUUUCCUGUUGGAUCCUAUGCAAAGAGUGAGAUCCCCACCAUUUUACAAAUGAGGAAACUGAGACUCAGUGAAGGCACAGAAGCUACCUAAGUUCCCUGAGACUGUUGAGAGUCCCUUGGGCUGCAAGAAGAUCAAACCAGUCCAUCCUAAAGGAAAUCAGUCCUGAAUAUUCAUUGGAAGGACUAAUGCUAAAGCUAAAGCUCCAGUACUUUGGCCACCUGAUGGGAAGAAUCAACUCACUGGAAAAGAUGGUGAUGCUGGGAAAGAUUGAAGGCGGGAGGAGAAGGGGACGACAGAGGAUGAGAUGGUUGGAUGGCAUCGCUGACUCAGUGGACAUGAGUUUGAGGUCUCUUGCUUUGCACAGUUCCAGAAGGCACCAUUCAUGAUGCAGUCUGAGCUCUGCCUGGGGCUGAUUUUACUGAGAUUAUUACCAUGACUAGUGCUGACUGCCCAGAGUUGGGUGAUGUGGAGACUGGAGCUCCAGAAGUGAGGCAUCUUUUUUUUGCCUAGUUUGAUCAUUGCCAUGUCCCCAUACCCAGAACGAUGCCUGACCUAUAUUAAACUGAAAUACAUGUUGAAAGAAAGAAUGAAAUCCUCCAAAGAGAACCAUUUUACUGGUG